rnacentral:rRNA from 1 species
GACGAACGCUGGCGGCGUGCUUAACACAUGCAAGUCGAACGGAAAGGCCCUGCUUUUGGGGGGUGCUCGAGUGGCGAACGGGUGAGUAACACGUGAGUAACCUGCCCUUGACUUUGGGAUAACUUCAGGAAACUGGGGCUAAUACCUGAUAGGAGCUCCGGCGGCAGGGUGGGGGUUGGAAAGUUUCGGCGGUUGGGGAUGGACUCGCGGCUUAUCAGCGUGUUGGUGGGGUAGUGGCUUACCAAGGCUUUGACGGGUAGCCGGCCUGAGAGGGUGACCGGCCACAUUGGGACUGAGAUACGGCCCAGACUCAUACGGGAGGCAGCAGUGGGGAAUAUUGCAAAAUGGGCGGAAGCCUGAUGCAGCAACGCCGCGUGCGGGAUGACGGCCUUCGGGUUGUAAACCGCUUUCGCAUGUGACGAAGCGUGAGUGACGGUAAUGGGUAAAGAAGCACCGGCUAACUACGUG